CCAGGGUACAGCUCAGCCCGGCUCAGACGCAGCCCGCUCAGGAAGCCCAGCACCACCAGGACGGUGCCGUAGACAGCCAGGAACGGUGCGGACAUCAUGGCGUAGCGGCGCCGGUCUCGCAUCAUCCAAAUUACACAGGACCACACCAGCAGGGCGAAAGUCAGCCAGUUGUUGUUACCUCCUGCUUAUCUCCUGAGAUGAAGAUGACCCUGGAGAAACUUGGAGGAGCCUCUGGACUUUCUACUGGACUCUCACACUCCUCAUCAUCAUCAACAACAGUAUCCUGAGAAACACAACAGCUAUUCAAAGCCUGCCACACAUCCUCUGGUGGCACAAGCUGCUGGGACAGAGGCAGCUGGUAGAGGUACAGAGCCAGCAGGUGUCCUCCGCUGAAGAUGGCCAUCAUCACGCACAGGGAGCUGAAGAGCAACAGGCUGAUGGAGCGGCUAAACACCCACCACCACACCAGCCCGAGAAACACCCCGAAAUACACACCUGAGUGACCAGGUUUGGGUUCGGCAGCAGCGGCAAGGUGAGCAAAAACAGGAAAUACACCACUGACAGACCAUUGUAGCGGAACAAAGAGGCUGAGGAACAAAAGAAAAGAACACAGAUAAUUUAUCUGGUUGACAGAAAUGGUCAGAAUCAAUUAAUUUGUAGAAAGCAAAACAUUUUUUUGUAAUCUGUUCUUUAAAUCACAAACAGGUCACAUUGAACAAAAAACACCAAAAAGAAAACAAAUGACAAAAUGACCUGUGUAUGUGUUAUUGUGAGUGUUUGUAAACUAAUACAAAUACAUUCUAAAAUGAAAUUACAACAGUUCAUCUUACAUAC